UGCUUCCGGGUAGAGGCUGAGCUUGUGGUGGCGGCGCUGAGCCGCCUGUCGGGAGGGAUGCGCUGCGCUCGCCGCGGAGCCAUUCAGUUCCCCCCCCCCCGUGUCCCGUGCCGGCUCCGCGGGGCGGCCGGGGCGCAUCCCGAGCGACGCGGCGGGGAAUGGAGAGCAGGGAGGCCUGCCGGGCGGCCGCCGCUGUGGUUAGCCGCUGCUUUCAGGCCUGGCGUGUGGGUAGAGCUUGGCGGCUCCGCGAAGCCGUGAGGGUGGAGCGCUGGGGUUCUGCGUUGGAGCCGGGGGAUGUGGUGCCGCCGCCUGCCCCUGCGGUGCGGUUGGGGGUUUUAUCCCACCGGCCAUUUGGCGGUGCGGGGGCUCUCUGGGUGUGCGUGCGAGCGAGCGGGAGUGAAACCAGUGUUGAGCGGCUGAACGAAACCCGGGUAGAAGGGGGCUGCGGAAGGACAGGCUACCCUGGGGUACUGGCUGCCUGUGCUGAGUGAUGCUCCUUGGUGGUGAAGCGCGUUCAGAUCUGCGAGUGGUAGCGGUGGAAGCAUGGCCUCAAAAGCGCAGCGCUUCUCAUUCGGCACCUUUUGUCGUCAGAGGCAGCGGAGAUUUUAUGCGGGCAGCUGACAAAGUGCGGGUGGGUCUGUCUCCGUGGUGGCUUUGGCUGUGCCUAGUGACCUGUUUGACUGCCUUCUCUUGCUCGGGCUUGGUUGGUUUUAAUGGGAUAAAGCAGACAGUUUAUGUUACUGAGAAACCAGCAGUUCUUUAUAUGCUUUGCCGUAGUGCUAGGAGAGUAGACCCGAGUAACCGGUAGUGUUGAACUGCGUGGUCUGUCACUGGAACAGCCGGCAGGGGUGGCAGCAAGAGGGAGAUAUGGGAGCAAGACUGGGCUGGCUGCGUGUGCAAAGGGGUUGGUUCAGUCGGUGCUAGAAGGUGCACAGAACUACCCAGCAUCAGCCAGAGAAGUUGCUGAAUUUGGAACGUGUCCAGCCAACGGCCAUGUGUGCAACCAACCUUGAGCUCCUGGGCAGAUGCCGGAUUCUUUCCAAGAACUUGGAAUAGAGCAUGGAGUCUCCUACACCAGCCAGGUCCAUCUUAUAAUGAUUUUAUUCAACUGUUCAGAAGAAGUAUUAAUGGGACUCCCAUAAGACUCCUGACAUUUUGCUGAUGUUCCUGUUAGAAGACCUGUCACCUCAUUUUGAAAACAGUAAUAAAAAUGCCAGUAUUCAAACUGCAGGCCUAAAACGCUAACAGUUAGUCACAAAUUAGGUUAGUUCCAGGCAUUCUACUGCUGAACAGAACUACUAGUUAUGAAUUGGUGGUUUGAGGUUCUUGCAUAGUGCACAAGAAGGUAGGCAUCUAAGAAUGAUACUGUCAGCAGAAAGAUUUUUUUGUUUGCUUUGUUUUUAAAAAGAGGAGGGCUAAAUUAGCUGGUGAGAAAGAUGAGAAGCCUCAUUUCAGCUUAUCAGAACAGGACGCCUCUUUGUGUCUAAGUCAGAUAUCUGUCUGUCUUUCUGACUUGUGAUAGCUCCUGGAAAUGAAGUCCCUUAUUGUGCCUUAAUAACUGAGCUCUACUUGGGCGGGUUUAUUGUCUUUUGAAGCUUUUUAGUGGGAUGGCUCCAGCUGUUCUGCAUGUCAGGUAAUUUCCAGGCAACAUCUGGCAGCACCAAUAUAUCCUCAGUUUUGAGAGCAUUAAGAAUGCUUAAAAUGUACCUACAGUGCUGGACUGCACAGUUAAAAUUUGUGUGGGAUGCCUAAAUUGUGAACACUGAAGAAUGUCUGUGGAAAGUUCCUGGUUAUGUUGAAGAUAUGCUAGCUUGAAAAAGUUGUGAAACAAACAGCAGAAAUGUAGAAGUGAUACAGGGGUUUUACUGACACAGAAACUCGGUCCCUGUGGGAAACUGAUGGUUUGGAAUCUGAGUUGUAUCUCACUUCCUGGUUUGGAUCUAAGCUGGAGACCUAUAAGCAAGUUUGUUUCUGAACUGGAUGGGUAGUUAAAUAAUAUUUCUAGGUUUAUAACUGAUUCCCAAGAGGGUGUUUGCAUUAGCUUUAAGAUACAACAGUCCCUAAAUGACAGAUGAAGAGUAUGUACAAAGUAACCUAAGUCAGUUUAACUUAAUCCAUGAUCUAAGGCAGGUUUUUGACUUAGAUCAUGUAAGGAUGCUGUUUGCAGAAAGAGGCCAUGCUAAAAAUCAAAGGAAAAAUGUAAGCCCCACAUUUACCAAAUAGAACAAAAGAUCAUGCUAAAGUUUGAACGUGGACCUUUAAACAAGACGCUCUUCAAGCUUGCUUCUUAAUGACAUUGAUCUCAGUAUAUGCCUUUUUGUAGUAACACUCUGCUUUGUGAAUUGUGAAGCUGUCCUGGAGCCGGGACAUCUAUGAACUUUGCAAUAGAGUAGAAUUAUUCUUUGGGAUAAGCAAGGUUCUUGCAACUAUUCUGUCUGACCAGAGUCUUAGAUCCUUGUUCCUUAUUUGCAGAUGGUAGUGGUGCUUAAGUUUUUCAGUAUUAGAGAGGAAGCAUAAUUUUAUAUACUUCUAACUCUUAUGCUGAACUGACAAAUGUUACCUUUAAUGAGAACACCUCUUGCGUCUUUUUACCCAGGAGCUAUGAAUGCCAAAAUCUUUCAUGGGCCUAAAAAAAACCUGGGCAAAAUCAAGAAAGUAGAAUUGAUCUGCUAAAUAUACAGAUACUGUUAUGGGGUCAAGUCUUGAGCCAUAGAAGGCUAGGGACUGGGAUUAUAACAAUAUGCAUGUCCUGUUCCUUGCUUCCUAUGCAUUCAUGUUUGACCAGUAUUGCAGAAACAAGAUCCUGGGUUCUGAGUUUCUGAUUUAACUUGGUAUGGUAAUUGGGACAAAUUGUAAUUUAUUUAAAAUGUGGGAAAUGUCUUCUGGUCUUUCAUAACUGUAGGGAAAACCUCAGGGCACACUUUGCCUGUAAAAAAGAUUCUUGUGCUCCAGUUAAGUUCUACUGGCAUACUCUUGUGUAUAGCUAGGAUGACAAGA
ensembl:lncRNA